rnacentral:rRNA from 1 species
CCGCGUGCGGGGAGGAAGCCCUUCGGGGUGUAAACCGCUGUCGGGGGGGACGAAGGGACCGUGGGCUAAUACCUCACGGUCUUGACGGUACCCCCAGAGGAAGGGACGGCUAACUACGUGCCAGCAGCCGCGGUAAUA